GAUGAACGCUGGCGGCGUGCCUAAUACAUGCAAGUCGAGCGAACGGACGAGAAGCUUGCUUCUCUGAUGUUAGCGGCGGACGGGUGAGUAACACGUGGAUAACCUACCUAUAAGACUGGGAUAACUUCGGGAAACCGGAGCUAAUACCGGAUGAUAUUUUGAACCGCAUUGUUCAAAAGUGAAAGACGGUCUUGCUGUCACUUAUAGAUGGAUCCGCGCUGCAUUAGCUAGUUGGUAAGGUAACGGCUUACCAAGGCAACGAUGCAUAGCCGACCUGAGAGGGUGAUCGGCCACACUGGAACUGAGACACGGUCCAGACUCCUAAGGGAGGCAGCAGUAGGGAAUCUGCCGCAAUGGGGGGAAGCCUGACGGAGCAACGCCGCGUGAGUGAUGAAGGUCUUCGGAUCGUAAAACUCUGUUAUUAGGGAAGAACAUAUGUGUAAGUAACUGUGCACAUCUUGACGGUACCUAAUCAGAAAGCCACGGCUAACUACGUG
rnacentral:rRNA from 1 species